rnacentral:misc_RNA from 1 species
AAGUAAAAGUCGUAACAAGGUUUCCGUAGGUGAACCUGCGGAAGGAUCAUUAUUGUACAACGGAGGUGUGAGGGCUGUCGCUGACCUUCAAAGGUCGUGCACGCCCAAGCACUUUCAUACAAUCCAUCUCACCCCUUUGUGCAUCACCGCGUGGGUCCCCCUUGCGGGAGGGCUCGCGUUUUCACAUAAAACUCGAUACAGUGUAGAAUGUUCUUUUGCGAUCACACGCAAUCAAUACAACUUUCAACAACGGAUCUCUUGGCUCUCGCAUCGAUGAAGAACGCAGC